GGAAGUUAAAGUCGUAACAAGGUUUCCGUAGGUGAACCUGCGGAAGGAUCAUUAAUGAGUUGUCAUGGGGUUCGAUGCUGGCAGCCAGUUUUUGGAUGCAUGUGCUUGCCCUAACAAUCAUCUUCUUCCAAACACCUGUGCACAUUUUUGAGGGAGUCUUGAGUUGGUUGCCGCUCUUGGGUGAUUUUCUCACAUUCCCUUAAAUCAUUAUACGCUAUUAACAAUGUUGAACGUGCUCUGUGCCGCAAGGCCAUUAAUAUAAUACAACUUUUAACAACGGAUCUCUUGGCUCUC
rnacentral:misc_RNA from 1 species